UUUAUUGUAGAAGUGAUUCUUUGACAGUAAAUCGGUUCACAUUAGAGAUGGGAAGUAUGUAUCUUAUCUAUGUUCUACCAUUCCAUUCACGUUUAUGUGUUGACAUAUUGAUGGUUAACUUGUGCACAGAUCGAUGCAGGUGUGAUUGUAUAGCUUCUACGGGUGAUUCUUUCAUCCGUAAUUUCUUCUACAGAUCAACCAUUUCUGCAGGUGUAUGUUCGAGUGUCACAAGUACGUAACUGGGAGGAAAGUCAUGCAGGAGACAAUUGUGAAAUGAUCUUCAUGUGAUAUUAUUGAUGAUUCAAGUGGUCAUGGUAUAUGUAGAUCAAGAUCAAGAUCAACAAGUUAUCUUGAAGCUAAG